AGGAUAAACGCUGGCGGCGUGCCUAACACAUGCAAGUCGAACGCGCUUUCGGGCUUCGGUGCGAGAGCGAGUGGCGGACGGGUGAGUAACACAUGGGUACCUACCUUGGAGUGGGGGAUACCGGCGAGAAAUCGCCGACAAUACCGCAUAGGCUUCUUCACAAGGGAAGCAAAGUGACGCGAGUCACGCUGUGAGAUGGGCCUGUGGCCGAUUAGCUAGUUGGGGGGGUAACGGCUUCCCAAGGCGACGAUCGGUAGCUGGUCUGAGAGGACGAUCAGCCACACUGGGAUUGAGAACGGCCCAGACUCCUACGGGGGGCAGCAGUGAGGAAUUUUCCGCAAUGGAGGCAACUCUGACGGAGCAACGCCGCGUGCAGGAGGAAGGUUUUCGGAUCGUAAACUGCUUUUCUCGGGGACGAGCAAGGACGGUACCCGAGGAAGAAGCCCCGGCUAACUACGUGCCAGCAGCCGC
rnacentral:rRNA from 1 species